CGACGCCGCGUGCCCUCCGACCCCGCCACGCCUCCUCAGGUCCACCCGCCCACUUCUCAGCGGCGGGCUGACGGCCUGGGGACGCCGCUCGGAAGGGAGCCAGGUGUCGCUGUGCUCCUCUGCAUCUGGGUCGUCGCCGCCGCGCUCUUCUGCUUUGUGGGUUCCAGAAAAGCCCCGCCGAAAUCGGCGGACCCCACGCUGUCUCUCCUCCUUCCUUCCGGGUCCUUCUGAAGAUGUAUUUAUCAAGAAAAUUAAAAGUGGAUGUUCCAGCCCCUUCGGAUGAACUGCAACCCUGACAACUUCACUGCAACUGCAUGAGAGACCCUGUGCCCCAGCUCCCCAGAGCCACCCGGCAAAGCAGCUUCCUGAUCCUUGGCCCUCAGAAACGCUGAGUUUAUGCUCAGAAAGACGUUCCCGUACUGAAAUCAGAGGUGGAGGGGAGCCAAAAGAACACUGAUGAAGCUUACAUUGUUCCAACUAUUCCGGCUCUAUCUUAAAUAUGGUGGCGGAACUUCAUUCAACUCCGUGGCCCCCAUGCACCACCACCCUGAAGCUUUCAAUCUGCAGACACUCUGGGAAGGGAAUAUCUGUUGGAUGAAUGGACCUGAGAGCUGAAACACACAGGUGAGUCAGAAUUUUUAAAAACAUAUGUGAAAUACACAUAAAGGACUAGAGAAAUAGAAGUUAUGGCUGUCUGCGCUCUUCAUCCAUGAGAACCCUGAAAACAGAAGUAUUCCCACCAGCCUGACCCUGACAUCACAGCAAGAACCUCCAAAACCAGUCUUUGCCAAAUCAGUAGGAUAGAGAAGCAACCGCAGAGGAAAGGAAAGGACAACAAUGACCCAUACGUUAUUGCGCAAGUGCUUUUGACCAAAGGCCUGUGGAGGCAAGAUUGCGCCAAACCUGUUACAGGAAAUUAGAUAACACGUAUUGUUUGGAAGCUUCAGCUCUAUCCUCCAAUUCCAUUAGCUAUUCCUUGACUCUCAAUCCUUUGGGGGUCAGGGCCACGUCAACUCCAGCGCUGGGGUUUCCAAGAAGAACUCAACUGACAGCUACGACUGCCCACCCAGCACCCGAUCACUUGGACCCUAGGGCUGCAGGUCUAGGCAGGGCCCCCGAAGGCCCAGCUAUGUGGCUGGUGUUCACUUGGUGGCUCAUUUUUGCUCUGAUAUUUUGGGAUCCCAAUUAAUGUUCAUACCUUUUGAGACUUUAUUAUUUACUCCCAAAGAACAGUUUGUUUGUUUUUUAAGUUUUGGUUAGAUGCAGACUCCUCAAGGGCAGAAAUUUCUGAAUUAUCUUUGUAAUCCCAGGACUUGACACGUGGAAGCCAGCACAGAGGACAACAAAGAAAGAAAGGUAGCCAGUCUUCCCGAGAGACCUGGAGGGAACAUUUUGAUAGGUCUCCUUUCUUCUAUAAAUGUUUUUCCCAGGGGUGAGAAUAUAAAGUAUGUACAAUUUGCAAUCCUACUUUUUGCUUUCAAUUAAUGUGAUACAGGCAUUUUCCUGUGUGCUAUCAUCUGAAUAAUUACAUGUUGAAAACUUGAUGCCCUAGGUGGUAGUAUUAGGAGGUGGGGCCUUUGGUCAGUAGGCCAUGAGGGUGGAGCCUUCAUAAAUGGGAUUAGUGUUCUUAUAAAAGAAUCCCCAGACAGCUUGCUUCCCUCUUUUACAAUGUGAAGGUAUCACAAGUGUGCGACUUGAAGAGGACCCUUACCCGACCAUGCUGGCAUCCUGAUCUUGGACUUCCAGCCUCCAGAACUCAGUCACCCAUGCAACCAACACUGUAUUUCAUCGGUGAAUUGGGAUGGUUCAUCAGCUGCUCACUAGGCCCCAGGGAAGUCACAGAGUGACAUUUGCCUUCAGAUAAACUCCUUAGGUUGGGUUAUUGCUGUGACUGAAAUAGCAGAGCCAUCCCAACAGCGGGAGAUUGACCUGUCCGCUGAAGUGAAAACCACAGUGUCAAGAAUAAAGUGUUGACAAAACAAAAAACAUACACUGAAAGACAAGGACUUGUACACUACAAAUGGGUGGAUUCUGUAACAGACACUUGACAGCAUGCUGGAUGGACGAUACAAGCCCAACAGGCUGCAUUUGCUGAUGGACCGAUUGUAAAUUGCCUGAGCGGACUUCACUUUCAGACCCUCCUCAGUAUAGACUGGGCGACUUGUUGCUUUAUUGUUCUGAGCUUGCCCUGAGUAGCCACCCAGUGGGGUUCUCCAUCUGUGGCUUGAUAGGAAGCAACAUUCUUUAGCAGCCUUGAAGCAACUGGCAGGGCAAUGGCUACAGCCUGCCUUUGUAAGCAGGAGGCAGGGGCAUUAACUGUAUUGUUUCUGGACGUUGGCAUAAAUGUGGCCCUGCCCCGUGGUCCUUCACAACAAAACUUGAGGUUGAAUCCCUUUUGUUGGGGUAGAUAAGGGAGUGUAUUGAGCUCUAUGGAAAACAGACAGGAGGACUCUGACAGAUGGGGAAAGGGUCACCCCCACAGCAGGGAGUCAGCCUGGACGUGGGUACUAUAGCAACCUGCUGAGAAUUAUCCUGCCUAUUAAAGGAUGGUUGGAUUCACUGGGUCUGCCCAGGCAGGGAACCUGGCUGGGUCUUUGUCAGCAGACAGACGAGAAGCUGGUGUGCAGCUGUGUGAUUUGACAGUUUGGUUGUAUUCAGACAGCUCUAUGUUGUGGAGAUGACAUUACUCCUGAGCCUGACCGCAUGCAUCUAUGUAAACCAGUGGCAUACCCGAGGAGGGAGUCAGUGGGAGCAAUCCACUCCCGGUGCAGACAGUAAGCAGAAAAUUUCUGUGUGUGUGCUUGUCUGUAGAAAAUUUUCAAACAAUAAUAAAACUAAGUAAAAGUCA